CUCUCGAAAGGCCGCCCCACCCAACUGUCCCAGAUCUCCGCGAGACCUGCGGCACCCAGCUACCAGCUACCCGCUACCAGCUACCACUCC
rnacentral:ribozyme from 1 species